ensembl:lncRNA
GGCAGGUAGCAUAGUGGUUAGAGUGUAGAGGAGGCAGGUAGCCUAGUGGUUAGAGUGUAGAGGAGGCAGGUAGACUAGUGGUUAGAGUGUAGUGGCGGCAGGUAGUCUAGUGGUUAGAGUGAAGGGGGGUAGUCUAGUGGUUAGAGUGUAGGGGCGGCAGGUAGUCUAGUGGUUAGAGUGUAGGGGGGGCAGGUAGUCUAGUGGUUAGAGUGUAGAGGAGGCAGGGUAGUCUAGUGGUUAGAGUGUAGAGGCGGCAGGUAGUCUAGUGGUUAGAGUGUAGGGGUGGUAGGUAGUCUAGUGGUUAGAGUGUAGGGGAGUAGUCUAGUGGUUAGAGUGAAAUGGGAUACAGUACCUUCCUCUGUCCCCCAGACUGUACAGUCCCUUCCUCUGUCCCCCCCAGACUGUACAGUCCCUUCCUCUGUCCCCCC